rnacentral:rRNA from 1 species
AGAGUUUGAUCAUGGCUCAGAACGAACGCUGGCGGCGUGGAUAAGACAUGCAAGUCGAACGAGAUUUUCUGUUGUAGCAAUACGAUGGAAAGUCUAGUGGCGAACGGGUGCUUAACACGUGGGCAACCUGCCAUGAAGUGGGGGAUAGCUCGCCGAAAGGCGAAUUAAUACCGCAUGUGAUUAGAAAGGACAUCCUUUCGAAAUUAAAGUCGGGGCAACCUGACGCUUCUUGUGGGGCCCGCGGCCUAUCAGCUAGUUGGUGAGGUAAUGGCUCACCAAGGCUUUGACGGGUAGCUGGUCUGAGAGGACGACCAGCCACACUGGGACUGAGACACGGCCCAGACACCUACGGGUGGCAGCAGUCGAGAAUUUUUGACAAUGGGGGAAACCCUGAUCGAGCGACGCCGCGUGGAGGAUGAAGGUCUUCGGAUUGUAAACUCCUGUCAUUGGGGAACAAUGCGCAAAUAUUAACUGUAUUUGUGUUGAUAGUACCCGAAGAGGAAGAGACGGCUAACUCUGUGCCAGCAGCCGCGGUAAUACAGAGGUCUCAAGCGUUGUUCGGAUUCAUUGGGCGUAAAGGGUGCGUAGGCGGCGCGGUAAGUCGGGUGUGAAAUCUCGGAGCUUAACUCCGAAACUGCAUUCGAUACUGCCGUGCUUGAGGACUGGAGAGGAGACUGGAAUUUACGGUGUAGCGGUGAAAUGCGUAGAUAUCGUAAGGAAGACCAGUGGCGAAGGCGGGUCUCUGGACAGUUCCUGACGCUGAGGCACGAAGGUCAGGGGAGCAAACGGGAUUAGAUACCCUAGUAGUCC